GACGAACGCUUGCGGCGUGCUUAACACAUGCAAGUCGAGCGGUAAGGCCCUUUCGGGGGUACGACGAGCGGCGAACGGGUGAGUAACACGUGGGUGACCUGCCCUCAGCUCUGGGAUAAGCCUGGGAAACCGGGGUCUAAUACUGGAUAUGACUCCAUGACGCAUGUUGUGGGGUGGAAAGCCUUGUGCGGCUGAGGAUGGGCCCGCGGCCUAUCAGCUUGUUGGUGGGGGUGA
rnacentral:rRNA from 1 species